rnacentral:rRNA from 1 species
UACGUAGGGUGCAAGCGUUGUCCGGAAUUAUUGGGCGUAAAGAGCUCGUAGGCGGUCUGUCGCGUCUGCUGUGAAAACUCAGGGCUUAACCCUGAGCUUGCAGUGGGUACGGGCAGACUAGAGUGCGGUAGGGGAGACUGGAAUUCCUGGUGUAGCGGUGAAAUGCGCAGAUAUCAGGAGGAACACCGGUGGCGGAAGGCGGGUCUCUGGGCCGUAAACUGACGCUGGAGGAGCGAAAGCAUGGGGAGCGAACAGG